rnacentral:rRNA from 1 species
CCUACGGGAGGCAGCAGUGGGGAAUAUUGGACAAUGGGCGGAAGCCUGAUCCAGCCAUGCCGCGUGUGUGAAGAAGGCCUUUUGGUUGUAAAGCACUUUAAGCGAGGAGGAGGCUACUAGUACUAAUACUACUGGAUAGUGGACGUUACUCGCAGAAUAAGCACCGGCUAACUCUGUGCCAGCAGCCGCGGUAAUACAGAGGGUGCGAGCGUUAAUCGGAUUUACUGGGCGUAAAGCGUGCGUAGGCGGCUUUUUAAGUCGGAUGUGAAAUCCCCGAGCUUAACUUGGGAAUUGCAUUCGAUACUGGGAAGCUAGAGUAUGGGAGAGGAUGGUAGAAUUCCAGGUGUAGCGGUGAAAUGCGUAGAGAUCUGGAGGAAUACCGAUGGCGAAGGCAGCCAUCUGGCCUAAAUACUGACGCUGAGGUACGAAAAGCAUGGGGAGCAAACAGGAUUAGAUACCCUGGUAGUCCAUGCCGUAAACGAUGUCUACUAGCCGUUGGGGCCUUUGAGGCUUUAGUGGCGCAGCUAACGCGAUAAGUAGACCGCCUGGGGAGUACGGUCGCGAAGACUAAAAACUUAAAUGAAUUGACGG